UUGUUAUUUUAAAGGUUUGGUUUGAAUUAGGUUGAUUGGAAUAAACUAAGGAAAGAACACAAUGACACACAUAACAAAGCAAAGCUUAUAGCAGAUCUAUUUUGUAAGUUUGUGACGUACACUGCCAUUGGUUUCAACGUCUGCUGGACUGCACCUAUGGUCUUCAGAAUUCUAGGCUGUGAACGACCUUCCUUCUACACAGAAAUAUAAUUUAAUCGCUUGCAAAGCGCGUGCGCGUUAAGAUGUUCAUUUAGCUCACCCCACUAAAAAUGUUACAUAAUCCCAGCCGGUACAUCAUGUACUGUAUACACAUUCACGUGUACAGUCCAGUCUGGUCUACCAAGUGUAGAGUUUUUUUUUGCAACAAAUGCAGCCUUGCAAGAUCACAGUGAGUUGUAAACCUUGGCAUUGCAAGACAUUUAAUAUGAAACUUUUGGGUCAAAGAUAUAAAAAAAUGUUCCACUAAGUCCAAACAAAAUCAAAUCAAAUUCAAACGACAUCUAUAAAAAUGAUUAAUCAGACAAUAAACUAUUGGAAUCAUAACAUCUGGUCAUAAACUUUGCAACGCUUAAAAAAUACAUAUUAUUGUGUAUUUUAAGAGAAUACUUUUACCAAUAAUUAUUACAGAAGGAGAUUGAAAUUGCCAGCAAUACUCUUAUGUCAAGUAAAGAAAGAAAUCAAAAAAAAAAAUAAUUAUGAAUAUGUCAGUCAAGUAUGUUUGUAUAUUUAAAACAAUCUUUUUUUUGCUCUUAAAUCAGUGCUGUGGAUCCAGGUCAUUCUAAUGUAGAUCCGGAUCCUGGAUUAGUUGUACAAAAAAUGGAUCCUGAUCCUGGAUUAGUUUUACAUGAACUGGAUCCGAAUCCUGGAUUAAUUAAAAAUGGAUCCGGAUCCUGGAUAAGUUUUGACAAAAAUGGAUCCGGAUCCUGGUUUAGCUUUGUUAUACCCUGGAUUAAUUUUGACUGAAUCCGGAUCCUGGAUUUUUUUAAUGGAUCCGGAUCCCGGAUUUAGUUUUACAUGAACUGGAUCCGGAUCCUUGAUUAGUUAAAAAUGGAUCCGGAUCCUAGAUAAGUGUGACAAAAAUGGAUCCGGAUCCUAUAGAUAAGUUGUGACAAAAAUGGGUCCGGAUCCUGGUUUAGCUUUGUUAAAAAUGGAUUCAUACCCUGGAUUAGUUUUGCAAUUGACUGAAUCUGGAUCCUGGAUAAGUUUGUUAAAAAUGGAUCCGAAUCUGGAUCCUGGAUAAGUUUUGGCAAAAAUUAAUCCAGCUAAGAACAUAAUGUUGUUUUUAUCUGUUACUUAUUUGUUUUAAUAAAGCAAAAUUUUACAAUUUCGCUGAUGUUUUUGCAUUUAAUAAGUUUUGCUCUAAAUACCUAAAAAUGAAUAAAUUUACAAAAUAUG